GUACUCGCUUCGGCGGUACAUAUACUAAAAUUGGAACGGUACAGAGAAGAUUAGCAUGGCCCCUGCUCAAGGAUGACACGCAAAAUCGUGAAGCGUUCCACAUUUUU
rnacentral:snRNA from 1 species